rnacentral:rRNA from 1 species
AGCGAACGCUGGCGGCGGGCCUAACACAUGCAAGUCGAACGGAUCCUUCGGGAUUAGUGGCGGACGGGUGAGUAACACGUGGGAACGUGCCCUUUGGUUCGGAACAACUCAGGGAAACUUGAGCUAAUACCGGAUGUGCCCUUCGGGGGAAAGAUUUAUCGCCAUUGGAGCGGCCCGCGUCUGAUUAGCUAGUUGGUGAGGUAAAGGCCCACCAAGGCGACGAUCAGUAGCUGGUCUGAGAGGAUGAUCAGCCACAUUGGGACUGAGACACGGCCCAAACUCCUACGGGAGGCAGCAGUGGGGAAUCUUGCGCAAUGGGCGAAAGACUGACGCAGCCAUGCCGCGUGAAUGAUGAAGGUCUUAGGAUUGUAAAAUUCUUUUACCAGGGACGAUAAUGACGGUACCUGGAGAAAAAGCCCCGGCUAACUUCGUGCCAGCAGCCGCAGUAAGAC